rnacentral:rRNA from 1 species
UACGAAGGGGGCUAGCGUUGUUCGGAAUUACUGGGCGUAAAGCGCACGUAGGCGGAUUGUUAAGUCGGGGGUGAAAUCCUGGGGCUCAACCUCAGAAUUGCCUCCGAUACUGGCAGUCUCGAGUGCGGGAGAGGUGAGUGGAAUUCCCAGUGUAGAGGUGAAAUUCGUAGAUAUUGGGAAGAACACCAGUGGCGAAGGCGGCUCACUGGCCCGUAACUGACGCUGAGGUGCGAAAGCGUGGGGAGCAAACAGG